GAUUAAGAUGUGAGUUCUCAAUUAGUCCUUCACUCAGCCCUUGUGAACUCUGUAACCUGUCUGACAUGGAUCUGGAACUGACCUAGACACCUAUAAAGCCAGGCUUAACUGACUGAAGCUAGAGGAUCAUAAUUUGAAUGCUGCAUGGGAUAUAUACAUCUACUCUUGGUAAACUCAUAAAGGAAUAUGAAAUCUCUUAGGAGGACCCUAGGAGACACUAAAUUUAUCUAGAAUGAAGAUGCUGGCAUCCGAAUUGUUCUUCGACAAAUGCCUUUGACUAAGAGGAGUUGGACCACCAAUGAUCAGGUAACACCUUCCAAAAGGGAAAAUGAUCCAGAGAAUGUUAAUGUGGGAUUGAAGGAACCAGAGGACACGAAUUUCCUUGCUGCACUUUAGAUAUUCUAUGGGGUUCCCUGAUGUUUCCAUUCCCACUCUGUCCAAAUUCUCUCCUUUCUCUUCUUAAUACUGCUCUUGUAUUCCCUUGCAGAUAUUGUGUCUCUAGAUAUAACUCAAUAUAGUACUUUUAUAUAAAUCUAUCUAUUCAUCCCUGUCUGCUCUGCAGAAAACAAUAGUACUGUACAAAACUAUUUCAAGCUUAUCUUGCAAGAGACUGUCUAUUUGGAUUACAUAAGAAAUGCUAAGACCCAAUAUAUGGUGCAGAAUUCAAUUUCAGUUUUAAACCCAGAUAAAGGAAAUAUGUCUCUUGACAUCACACUUAGCAAAGCAGGACCAGGAAGGAAGUGGGCAAUUUCAAGUAUAAAAUAUGUGCUUAACAGGCAAGCAUACAUACUGCUGUGGAAAAUUACUGAAGUCAGUCAGUCAAUCAGCAUACUGCACAGAACUUCAGAGGGAUGCAAAUUCUCCUUGUAAAUCAAUUGAUCUACAUUUCCUGCAGGUUUAUUUUUAUGAUUUCAAAGGCUAAGUAUCUAGAGGUAAUGGCUCAUCAUAUCAUUGUUAGAAGGAAGUGGAUUACUGAAGUUGGAAAAUUUGCUCAAACUUAAUUAAAAACAUAGUAAGUUCUUGCUAUAUUUUUAACACUACUCUACAAAGAAGCAAAUUAAUGUGAUUUUCAAAUGAAAACUCCACGGUUUCAAGUCAAACAUCAUGGGGUCAUGUCUCCAGUCCCUUCUGAGAAAGCAGAAUGUUUGAAAGCCGACUGGUAAACACAAAAAGACUCUGUUUCAAGAAAAGAAAAAAACAAAGACAAAAAAAAAGUUACGUUUCAUUAUGGAUAAUAAACAUUAAAAAAAAAGAAGUAACUCUGGGUAGAAUUCAUGAUUUAAUUAGGGUUUUAAAAAAGGAAUAGGUGGCAUGCAAACGUGAAUAAGAAUUCCUGAAAAAAAGCUGUGUCUACAGAGCCUGACUGAUUAAAACUUCAAUGACCAUGGAGAGGCUGGAACGGUGCUGGUUUAGAUGCCUAAUAAUUUCUUUUAAGAUAUCUUUAGUUCCACAAAUAGCCAUUCCUUGCCGAGACUUAACAUCCAGAUAAACAGAUGAAACCUUUGAAAGCUUUGAUUUAACGAAACUCUGGUCUCUGCUAAAAGCUAGGAGUACUAUCCAGUAAUAUCUGUAGUUGAGAUCCCCUCAUCCACUUGCUUCCAACAAAGUAAAAUGCCUUGAUAGGUACAUUUAUUGUUUCUGUUAUUAUAAAACUGCUUCCAUGUUGGAAAACACGGAAAUAGACUAAGCUAAAUUUCUUUUCCACAACCAUGAUCGAUCACUCAAAUUCGUGCUCCAGAAGAAACUAGCUCUCUCUUACUCACUUUGAGUUGAGCUAUUGUGUUGACAUGAGCUAUCAUGUCGAUAGUGUGAUAGAGUGAUGUCUACCACUAGAUGUUAUUUCAUUUUGUUUGUGUACAUACAUUUGAAUGAGUUCCAAUUUUAGCAAUUUUAAGUUAACUUGGUUUGAAUAUUCUUUUAGAAGUUUUGAGUUAACUGUAUGACUACAGUUUUCCUUGUGACAUAUGUAGAAAUAGACUAGUUGAACUCAUACUGAAAAUUAAAAAUGAAAUUAUUAAAAUAAUGAAAUGGGGACUUUUAGGAAUACUAGUGUGAAACUUCCUAGUGAUAUGGAAUGGAGAGUCUCUUAUCUGUUUACUCCUUAUCUAUCUGUCAUUUUGGGAACCCUUCACUUUCUUAGCUUAUAUCAUAGCUAGCAAUUGGGUAGACCUACCUUUCAUGCCGAUUUUUCAAAUUUAAUAAUUAAAUUUAAGUGCUAUUUUUUGUCCACACUAUUCUAUUAUAUAAUUGUGCAGAAAGAUAAAUCCAACUUCUUCAUAAUAAUGUGGUUUCAUUGUUCAAUAUAUCUUGUAAAGUUGAAUGUCUUAUUCUGUACUUUUUAAAGUGUGUUUCUUUACUUUGUGUCAUUACUUAUAUUCUCUUCAUCUUAUCUCCUAACUUUAGACACUAUCCAUCAUUCCAGUAAAAUUCUCUUUUCCAAAGUUGACUAGUAUAUACAAUCUUCAAAUAUAUAAGAUUGCUUUCUUUACAACACAGGCAUUAAAAAUAUCCUUAUUUUUGUGUGUAUCUUUGAUAACUUUCAUUGUCAUAUAUUUAUCCAUUAUUGGUUAUUUCAAGUUUGUUUGUUUACAUGCAAUUGGGUAGUCUCAA